rnacentral:rRNA from 1 species
GGGGCAGCAUUUUAGUUUGCUUGCAAACUGAAGAUGGCGACCGGCGCACGGGUGAGUAACACGUAUCCAACCUGCCGAUAACUCCGGAAUAGCCUUUCGAAAGAAAGAUUAAUACCGGAUGGCAUACGAAUAUCGCAUGAUAUUUUUAUUAAAGAAUUUCGGUUAUCGAUGGGGAUGCGUUCCAUUAGUUUGUUGGCGGGGUAACGGCCCACCAAGACUACGAUGGAUAGGGGUUCUGAGAGGAAGGUCCCCCACAUUGGAACUGAGACACGGUCCAAACUCCUACGGGAGGCAGCAGUGAGGAAUAUUGGUCAAUGGGCGAGAGCCUGAACCAGCCAAGUAGCGUGAAGGAUGAAGGCUCUAUGGGUCGUAAACUUCUUUUAUAUGGGAAUAAAGUAUUCCACGUGUGGAAUUUUGUAUGUACCAUAUGAAUAAGGAUCGGCUAACUCCGUGCCAGCAGCCGCGGUAAUACGGAGGAUCCGAGCGUUAUCCGGAUUUAUUGGGUUUAAAGGGAGCGUAGGUGGAUUGUUAAGUCAGUUGUGAAAGUUUGCGGCUCAACCGUGAAAUUGCAGUUGAAACUGGCAGUCUUGAGUACAGUAGAGGUGGGCGGAAUUCGUGGUGCAGCGGUGAAAUGCUUAGAUAUCACGAAGAACUCCGAUUGCGAAGGC